rnacentral:rRNA from 2 species
UGGGGAAUAUUGGACAAUGGGGGCAACCCUGAUCCAGCCAUGCCGCGUGUGUGAAGAAGGCCUUCGGGUUGUAAAGCACUUUAAGUUGGGAGGAAGGGGUGACUACUAAUAUUAGUCAUCAUUGACGUUACCAACAGAAUAAGCACCGGCUAACUCUGUGCCAGCAGCCGCGGUAAUACAGAGGGUGCAAGCGUUAAUCGGAAUUACUGGGCGUAAAGCGCGCGUAGGCGGCUGAUUAAGUCGGAUGUGAAAGCCCCGGGCUCAACCUGGGAACUGCAUUCGAUACUGGUCGGCUAGAGUAUGAGAGAGGGAGGUAGAAUUCCACGUGUAGCGGUGAAAUGCGUAGAUAUGUGGAGGAAUACCGGUGGCGAAGGCGGCCUCCUGGCUUAAUACUGACGCUGAGGUGCGAAAGCGUGGGGAGCAAACAGG